UUUAGCCCUAAUCUACUUUUUAAACAAAACAGAGUAAUUUCCUCUAGAAAUAAGUAUGUUAUUAGCGUGAUCUUCACGGAGACAGACCAGGAAGAACGAAGAUGACCUAAUACACUGGUCAAGCUACACAGAAUUCUGCAAUGGAAAAUGUUCAAUCAUUUCAUGAAACCACGAAACAGGACACACUGCCUUUCAAUUCCAUCAACUGAAAUGAUGAGCUUUCCCUUCAUCUGCAGCUCAGAAGUGGCUUACAAUAAAAUAACUCCCCCCACCCCGAUGACUUGACUUAGUGAAGUGACUGCCAAGGACUAGUGAAGAUGAAGUUUCUAGUUGAAAGAAAAAUAAAAAUUUAAUGAGUCAGCA